AUGGUGUCCACAUCUCAGUUUCUUCAGCUUCUGCUCUUCUGUGUUUCAGCCUCUAGAGGUGACAUUGUGCUGACUCAGUCUCCAGCCACCCUGUCUGUGAUUCCAGGAGAUAAAGUCAUUCUGACCUGCAGGGCAAGCCAGGGUAUUAACAGUAACUUACACUGGUAUCAGAAAAAGACAAAUGAGGCUCCAAAGCUUCUCAUCAAGUAUGCUUCCCAGUCCAUCUCUGGGAUACCCUCCAGGUUCAGUGGCAGUGUAUUGGGGACAGAUUUCACCCUCAGCAUCAACAAUUUGGAGCCUGAAGAUAUUGCAGUUUAUUACUGUCAGCAUGAUUACAGCUGGCAUCCCACAGUGAUACAGACCAUAGCAAAAACCACCAGGGAAAAAGAAAUCUAA